UGCCGCUUCGACAAGAUCGUGCAGAGGUGUCUCCUUCUUCUGUCCCUUUAGCUUCUCUGUCUUCUGCGCGGGAAUUGCCUUCUGAGGCGCGACGAGCCAAGGAAAAACAAAUCAUGUACAAGCACGCGAUACUCGCCCUUGUCGCAUGCAGCGCCUACCUGGUCCUUGAAACCGUAAGUAAUUAUGAUUGACCCCGAACCGACUGAGAGCUUCCUCUGGUCGCGCGACCGUUAACGGAUUCC
rnacentral:lncRNA from 1 species